AAGGUAGAGAGAGAGAGAGAGAGAUAGAAAGCAGGACCACAAUGAUGCAUGACAGAGCGGUCCAUAUCUGCACGAUCAAAAAACACUGACCAUCUGUGUUAGCUAUGAGUAAGCUUCUAGUGCCAGUCAUAAGUCAUAACACUUGGAAUUCCAAAUAUGACUACAAGAUCGCUCCCUCUUUCUCUGCCGAUAAUAUUAAUAAGUGUUGUAAAAUCAUAAAUCUUAUCCUAAACACAGAAAAUUUUCCAAAAAGAAUAAACAAGAUCCAAAGUGUAAAGACGCCGCUUGUUCCACAAAUUAAAGCAACGAAAACAGAAUCCAAAUUCAAAGCAGAAAACUAAUCAAUUAAGACAGAAUAGAAUCUCAGACGCACAUGCAGAGAUACAUAUAUAUAUAUAUAUA
rnacentral:misc_RNA from 1 species